CAAAGGUUGUCUCAGUACGGUCGGAAGUCGUACGUAGAGUGUAAAGGCAAAAGAGAGAUUGAUUGCAAGACAUACAGGUCGAGCAAGGAUGAAAAUCGGACUUAGUGAUCCGGUGGUUCUGCGUGGAAGGGCCAUCGCUCAACGGAUAAAAGCUACCCUGGGGAUAACAGGCUUAUCUCCCCCAAGAGUCCACAGCGACGGGGAGGUUUGGCACCUCGAUGUCGGCUCAUCACAUCCUGGGGCUGUAGUAGGUCCCAAGGGUUGGGCUGUUCGCCCAUUAAAGUGGUACGCGAGCUGGGUUCAGAACGUCGUGAGACAGUUCGGUCCCUAUCCGUCGCAGGCGUAGGAAAUUUGAGAAGACCUGUCCUUAGUACGAGAGGACCGGGAUGGACGUACCUCUGGUGUACCAGUUGUUCUGCCAAGGGCAUGGCUGGGUAGCUAUGUACGGAAUGGAUAAGCGCUGAAAGCAUCUAAGCGCGAAGCCAACUUCAAGAUAAGAUUUCCCACCG
rnacentral:rRNA from 1 species